rnacentral:rRNA from 1 species
GGUCCCUUUCCGAACCCGGAAGCUAAGCCCGAUUGCGCUGAUGGUACUGCACCUGGGAGGGUGUGGGAGAGUAGGUCGCCGCCAACC